AACCAAGCCAUGAGGUCAAAGGCAUUGUCCGUAGAGCUCCGAGACAGGUUUGUGUCGAGGCACAGAUCUGGGGAAGGGUACCAAAAAAUGUCUGCAGCGUUGAAGGUCCCCUAGAACACAGUGGCCUCCAUCAUUCUUAAAUGGAAGAUUUGUGGAAACACCAAGAUACUUCAACUUCCAAGAGGUGACCAAGAACCCGAUGUCCACUCUGACAGAGCUCCAGAGUUCCUCUAUGGAGAUAGGAGAGCCUUCAAGAAGGACAACCAUCUCUGCAGCACAGGCCAAGAUGUCUGACUCAUGUUAUGAUGAGUCAAGUCAGAACUGGAGCAGCAGGAAUCAUGCUCUGCCAGGACCAGGGUUGUGACUCAGAGACUCUGCUCUGUGCACCGUGGAGUCACUGUUCCACUACUCUAACCUCCACUCAGGGGUUGAAGAGAAGUGAAAAGAGCAAAGUGGACCUCGGGGUGGAAAGGAACAGACAAGCUGUUCUUAAUGGCAGGCCAUUUCUCAUGUUAUUACUGAGCUUUCUGCUGGCUGAAGAGAUGUGGUGUGGAUAGUGGCUGUUUCCUGCCUCUCCUCUCAGCUCAGGUGCAUCUAACUUAUACUCUGGC
rnacentral:lncRNA from 1 species